rnacentral:rRNA from 1 species
AUUGAACGCUGGCGGCAGGCCUAACACAUGCAAGUCGAACGAGUGGCGGACGGGUGAGUAAUGUCUGGGAAACUGCCCGAUGGAGGGGGGUAACUACUGGAAACGGUAGCUAAUACCGCAUACUAUCGGAUGUGCCCAGAUGGGAUUAGCUAGUAGGUGGGGGAACGGCUCACCGAGGCGACGAUCCCUAGCUGGUCUGAGAGGAGGCCCCGCAACACUGGAACUGAGACACGGUCCAGACUCCUACGGGAGGCAGCAGUGGGGAAUAUGGCACAAUGGGCGCAAGCCUGAUGCAGCCAUGCCGCGUGUAUGAAGAAGGCCUUCGGGUUGUAAAGUACUUUCAGCGAGGAGGCGUUACUCGCAGAAGAAGCACCGGCUAACUCCGUGCCAGCAGCCGCGGUAAUUC